rnacentral:lncRNA from 1 species
GAAUUUCUCUCUUUUACAACAAAGACUCUCUAAGAAGAGUAAAUAAAGAGAUACAAUAUUAGCUCAAUGAACAACACAAAGUUGUCUCUCAAAUGGCUCAACAAAAGCUCUAAGAUGAUGCACAAAUAAUAUCAAGAUGUUUAUUGAACAACACAAAGUUGUCUCUCAAAUGGCUCAACAAAAGCUCUAAAAUGAUGCACAAAUAAUAUCAAGAUGUCUAUAGAUAAUUGAGAGAUGUUGUUCUUGCCAAAUGAGUUCAAAUGACCUCUAUUUAUAGAGUUUAGAGGUGAUAUGUCCGUUGCUCAAUAGUUGAACAAUAAAUCUGAUUUUCCAACAGAAUAAUCGAUUAU